UACGUAGGGACCAAGCGUUGUCCGGAAUCAUUGGGCGUAAAGAGCGUGUAGGCGGCUUGUUAAGUCUUGCGUGAAAUCUCGGGGCUCAACCCCGAGCGGUCGUGAGAAACUGGCAGGCUAGAGUGCGGGAGAGGAGAGUGGAAUUCCUGGUGUAGCGGUGAAAUGCGUAGAGAUCGGGAGGAACAUCAGUUGCGAAGGCGGCUCUCUGGACCAGCACUGACACUGAGGCACGAAAGCGUGGGGAGCAAACAGG
rnacentral:rRNA from 1 species